CCAAAAUACAUUAUUCAUCUUUCUUCUAUGUUCAAAGUUACCAAUUGCAGCUAUUGAAGCCCUCGUCGCCGGACCCUCAUCGCCGGACCCCAGAAAAAAACGGUUCAGAUAUCUUUUACUUUUAGUCUUCACUCUUCACGUUCUUCUUCACCUCUACUUUUGUAAGAACUUUUUUGAUAAUUGAUGCCAUAUUAUCAACCCAUAUCUAGUUUUCCCGACUCGUCAGAACCAAAAAAGAGAUGCCGGCCCAACCUUUUUUACACCGGUUUUCCGGUUCAACUACCGGCCACCGAUCCGGCCGGGCGGUUCGUGCACAAACGGUUCAAAUGGGGUGACCGGACCGCUGAAACCACCGGUCUCCGGUUAAACCGGCCGGACCGGCCGGUCCGGUCCGGUUUUCAAAACCUUGGUGCCUUCAGUUGCACCUAUUGAUGUUGUAAAUGAAAUUUAUGAAGAACCACAUGGUCCUGUUCAUCGGUUUUCCCGUAUGGCUGAUACCGAUUUUAUGCUUCCCGAUCGUGUUUCUGAAAUGGCCAAACUUGAUCUUGGUUUAAAAGAAAUAACUGUCAGACUUUUGAAUCGGGAUCCCACAGUGCAGUUUACCAACGGUACUAGACGUGAAUGGAAACGUGAAGGUUUUCGAUAUGCUUUAAGUCGAUGGUCGGAGUUCAUGAAAAUUGAUGGAAUUAAGGCCCGUGACACCGUUGACUUUUCUUUUGACGAAAAUGAGCAAGUGCUAAGUGUUGAAAAGGUUGUACCUUAUGUUAUGAGUAGUAAAUAGUUUUUUUUGACAUGGUUUUUGUUUUUUCCUUUUUGAUCAGUUAGAUAAUUACUUCUUAAAUGGUUUUUGGUUUUUAACAUUGUUAUUGUUUUCAAUAUCAAGAUAGUACAUUU